ACUCGUUCCGAACAUACUUCUGAAUUGUGUGGGUGCGUUUUCGAUCCUUUCAUCAAUGGCCGAUAGAUUGACGCGUAUCGCUAUUAUCAAGGAAGACCGUUGCAAGCCAAAGAAGUGCCGGCAAGAAUGCAAAAAGAGCUGCCCUGUUGUAAAAAUUGGUAAAUUGUGUAUCGAGGUCACUUCUGCAUCUAAGACUGCUUAUAUCUCUGAAGAGCUUUGCAUAGGGUGUGGUAUAUGUGUCAAGAAAUGCCCAUUUGGAGCAAUUGAGAUCAUUAAUUUACCGAAAGAUUUGGACAAAGAUACAACUCACCGUUAUGGGGUCAACAGCUUUAAAUUACACAGGUUGCCGGUUCCGCGUCCAGGGCAAGUUCUUGGUCUGGUUGGAACAAACGGCAUUGGGAAGUCUACUGCCCUCAAAGUUUUGGCUGGGAAAUUGAAACCCAAUUUGGGGCGUUUUAGUAACCCCCCAGAUUGGCAAGAAAUUUUGACCUACUUCCGAGGAUCUGAGUUGCAAAAUUACUUCACACGUAUUCUGGAAGAUAAUCUAAAGGCUAUCAUAAAACCCCAGUAUGUUGACCAUAUUCCAAAAGCAGUUCAAGGGAAUGUUGGACAAGUGCUUGAUCAAAAAGACGAGAGAGGUGUAAAGGAAGAGCUCUGUGUUGAUCUUCAGCUAAAUCAAGUUAUAGAUCGUAAUGUAGGAGAUCUGUCUGGUGGAGAACUUCAGAGGUUUGCCAUUGCUGUUGUUGCCAUACAGAAUGCAGAGAUAUAUAUGUUUGAUGAGCCCUCAAGCUACCUCGAUGUUAAACAAAGGCUUAAAGCUGCCCAAGUUAUCAGAUCCUUGCUCAGACCUGAUAGCUAUGUGAUUGUUGUUGAGCAUGAUCUAAGUGUCCUAGAUUACCUAUCAGAUUUUAUCUGCUGCCUCUAUGGGAAACCUGGUGCAUAUGGUGUUGUAACACUACCCUUCUCCGUCAGAGAAGGAAUUAAUAUAUUUUUGGAGGGGAAGGUGCCUACUGAAAAUCUACGGUUCCGUGAAGUAUCUCUUACUUUCAAGGUUGCUGAGACACCGCAGGAAAGUGCAGAGGAAAUUGAAACAUAUGCACGCUAUAAAUACCCAACUAUGUCUAAAACUCAGGGUGGUUUCAAACUGAAUGUGGCCGAGGGUGAAUUCACAGACUCUCAGAUCAUAGUGAUGCUUGGUGAGAAUGGAACUGGGAAGACGACGUUUAUCCGCAUGCUGGCUGGUAUACUGAAGCCUGACACUAUUGAAGGCACUGAUGUCGAGAUACCUGAGUAUAAUGUUUCAUACAAGCCCCAAAAAAUCAGUCCGAAGUUUCCACAUUCAGUCAGGCACUUGUUACAUCAAAAGAUUCGAGACUCAUAUAUGCAUCCACAGUUUGUUUCUGACGUCAUGAAGCCUCUUCAAAUUGAGCAACUAAUGGAUCAAGAAGUUGUGAACCUUUCUGGUGGAGAAUUGCAACGAGUUGCAUUAUGCCUGUGCCUAGGGAAGUGUUUCCCUUCUGUUUCAGCCUGCCGAUAUAUACUUGAUCGAUGAACCAAGUGCAUACCUGGACUCUGAGCAGCGUAUUGUUGCUUCAAAAGUUAUAAAGAGAUUCAUACUCCAUGCAAAGAAGACUGCUUUCGUGGUUGAACAUGACUUCAUAAUGGCAACUUAUCUAGCAGAUAGAGUCAUUGUUUAUGAAGGAAAUCCAUCAAUAGAUUGUACUGCAAAUGCACCUCAGUCGCUAUUGACCGGAAUGAACCUCUUCUUAUCUCAUCUGAACAUCACAUUCAGGCGUGACCCGACUAAUUAUCGGCCAAGAAUUAACAAGCUUGACUCAACCAAGGACAGGGAGCAGAAGGGUGCUGGAUCAUAUUAUUAUCUGGAUGAUUAAUUUUCUGUUCAACUCAGCAAGAGCAAAACAAACACAGGUAAUAGUGAUCAGUUCUGUACCAUAUCCAUAUGGGUGCUCGUACCAUUCCAAGUCAACAUGUUGACUAUGAGUUUUAGCUUAACACGCUCGCUUUCUAGUACAUUCUAGAAUGUUUAUGUUUUCUUUCAAAGGAAUCUGGGGGAGGUUGACAGUUUUCUCCCUUUGAUGAGAUCCAUCUCCUUCCUGCAUCAUAUGAUUCUGUGACAAAAGUAAUUAUAGGAAGGAGAACAACUUUAUUCUGUAUCUGGUAUUCGACCAAGUUUUGAACAAACCAUAUGCUACUUUAAACCAUUUUCUGGGUUUCUGUUCUGUGAGUUUUGCCUAUACGGUUGAGUCUUUAUUUCAAAGUCAGCAACAUUCAGAUGUACCCCUGAACUUGUUUUGUUUUUAAUCUGUAUUUGAAGCUUAUCUAGGACCU